rnacentral:rRNA from 1 species
GAUGAACGCUGGCGGCGUGCCUAAUACAUGCAAGUCGAGCGAACGGACGAGGAGCUUGCUCCUCUGAUGUUAGCGGCGGACGGGUGAGUAACACGUGGAUAACCUACCUAUAAGACUGGGAUAACUUCGGGAAACCGGAGCUAAUACCGGAUAAUAUAUUGAACCGCAUGGUUCAAAAGUGAAAGACGGUCUUGCUGUCACUUAUAGAUGGAUCCGCGCUGCAUUAGCUAGUUGGUAAGGUAACGGCUUACCAAGGCAACGAUGCAUAGCCGACCUGAGAGGGUGAUCGGCCACCCUGGAACUGAGACACGGUCCAGACUCCUACGGGAGGCAGCAGUAGGGAAUCUUCCGCAAUGGGCGAAAGCCUGACGGAGCAACGCCGCGUGAGUGAUGAAGGUCUUCGGAUCGUAAAACUCUGUUAUUAGGGAAGAACAAAUGUGUAAGUAACUGUGCACAUCUUGACGGUACCUAAUCAGAAAGCCACGGCUAACUACGUG